AAUAAAAGUCAGCAGGUUCAGCGCCCUCCACAUCAGCAGGUAACACAGGGAAAGCAAAAGAAAAGUCGAGCCAAAUGUCACUUCAAGACACGUUUGCUAGAGGAACUCCCUACAACAGAAAGAGCAAACGGUGGAUCGAGAUUACAAACUCUAUCACUAUCCACCUAGCCGAAGACAUGGCCCCGCUUAAUACAGUCGAAGGCUUCACUCGGCCGUGCUAACGUUAAGACCUGUCACCUCAAGCAUGCAGCGGAGCAACCUAAUGAACGCAAUAACAAUCCACCUACGGUCCCACUACAGACCGUCGAGAAAGACGGGCUCAGAGCAAUGAUUAAAACACUGGAUUUAAGAUGUCUUGCCUCGCCGAAAUACUUCCGCCAAACCACUAAGGUUAUUCAAACACCGAAGCAAGCUGACAGCGGAGCUGGGCCCACUUUUCUACAACAACCUAACGUUA